GAUGAACGCUGGCGGCGUGCCUAAUACAUGCAAGUCGAGCGAACGGACGAGAAGCUUGCUUCUCUGAUGUUAGCGGCGGACGGGUGAGUAACACGUGGAUAACCUACCUAUAAGACUGGGAUAACUUCGGGAAACCGGAGCUAAUACCGGAUGAUAUUUUGAACCGCAUGGUUCAAAAGUGAAAGACGGUCUUGCUGUCACUUAUAGAUGGAUCCGCGCUGCAUUAGCUAGUUGGUAAGGUAACGGCUUACCAAGGCAACGAUGCAUAGCCGACCUGAGAGGGUGAUCGGCCACACUGGAACUGAGACACGGUCCAGACUCCUACGGGAGGCAGCAGUAGGGAAUCUUCCGCAAUGGGCGAAAGCCUGACGGAGCAACGCCGCGUGAGUGAUGAAGGUCUUCGGAUCGUAAAACUCUGUCAUUAGGGAAGAACAUAUGUGUAAGUGACUGUGCACAUCUUGACGGUACCUAAUCAGAAAGCCACGGCUAACUACGUG
rnacentral:rRNA from 1 species